GACCUCGAAUCAGGUAGGGAUACCCGCUGAACUUAAGCAUAUCAAU
rnacentral:rRNA from 1 species